AUACGGAGGAUCCGAGCGUUAUCCGGAUUUAUUGGGUUUAAAGGGUGCGCAGGCGGCCAUUUAAGUCAGCGGUUAAAUCGUGGGGCUCAACCCCAUUCUGCCGUUGAUACUGGGUGGCUUGAUUGCGGUCGAGGUUGGCGGAAUUCGUUGUGUAGCGGUGAAAUGCAUAGAUAUGACGAAGAACACCGAUUGCGUAGGCAGCUGACCAGAUCGCAAAUGACGCUCAUGCACGAAAGUGCGGGGAUCGAACAGGAUUAGAUACCCUGGUAGUCCGCACAGUAAACGAUGAAUACUUGUUUUCGGCGAUAUAAUGUCGGAGGCAAAGCGAAAGCGAUAAGUAUUCCACCUGGGGAGUACGCCGGCAACAGUGAAACUCAAAUGAAUUGACGGGG
rnacentral:rRNA from 1 species